AUCCUACGGGAGGCAGCAGUAGGGAAUCUUCCACAAUGGACGAAAGUCUGAUGGAGCAACGCCGCGUGAGUGAAGAAGGGUUUCGGCUCGUAAAGCUCUGUUGGUAGUGAAGAAAGAUAGAGGUAGUAACUGGCCUUUAUUCGACGGUAAUUACUUAGAAAGUCACGGCUAACUACGUGCCAGCAGCCGCGGUAAUACGUAGGUGGCAAGCGUUGUCCGGAUUUAUUGGGCGUAAAGCGAGUGCAGGCGGGUCAAUAAGUCUUAUGUGAAAGCCUUUCGGCUAACCCGGGAA
rnacentral:rRNA from 1 species